rnacentral:rRNA from 1 species
CAGCACCUCAAGUGGUCAGGAUGGUUAUUGGGCCUAAAGCAUCCGUAGCCGGCUCUGUAAGUUUUCGGUUAAAUCUGUAUGCUCAACAUACAGGCUGCCGGGAAUACUGCAGAGCUAGGGAGUGGGAGAGGUAGACGGUACUCGGUAGGAAGGGGUAAAAUCCUUUGAUCUAUUGAUGACCACCUGUGGCGAAGGCGGUCUACCAGAACACGUCCGACGGUGAGGGAUGAAAGCUGGGGGAGCAAACCGGAUUAGAUACCCGAGUAGUCC